ensembl:lncRNA
CCAAAAUCCAAUGUCUUCAAGACGUCAUAAUGGUAACGUCCAAUCAACGUCCAAUUAUAACAUCACUUGACUUUGAUCUUUAGUUUGUUUUUAGGUUGUGAUAUUAACUAACCUAAACCCAACGUCGAGCCAACGUCUCAGGCCAACGUCAGAUUGACAUCAAAUACUGAUGUUUAGUCGUCAGGUAUGGCAACCAAAAUCCAAUGUAUUCAAGACGUCAUAAUGGUAACGUCCAAUCAACGUCAAAUUAUAACGUCAUUUGACUUUGAUCUUUAGUUAGUUUUAGGUUGUGGCAUUAACUAACCAAAAUCCAACGUCGAGCCAAGGUCUCAAGCCAACGUCACAUUGACAUCAUGUUUUGUCGUCAGGUAUGGCAACCAUAAUCCAACGUUUUCUAGACGUCAUAAUGGCAACAUCCACACAACGUCAAAUUAAAACAUCAUUUGAUGUUGAUCUGUAGUUAGUUUUAGGUUGUGGCAUUAACUAACCAAAAUCCAACGUCGAGCCAACGUCUCAAGCCAACGUCACACUGACAUCAAAUACUGAUGUUUUGUCGUCAGGUAUGGCAACCAAAAUCCAACAUCUUGUAGACGUCAUUAUGGUAACGUCCGAUCAACGUCAAGUUAUAACAUCAUUUGAUGUUGAUCUGUAGUUAGUUUUAGGUUGUGGCAUUAACUAACCAAAAUCCAACGUCGAGCCAACGUCUCAAGCCAACGUCACACUGACAUCAAAUACUGAUGUUUUGUCGUCAGGUAUGGCAACCAAAAUCCAACAUCUUGUAGACGUCAUUAUGGUAACGUCCAAUCAACGUCAAGUUAUAACAUCA